GUUUGGGUUUAUUUUAUUUUUGAAAAAGUCUCUCUUCACAAAAACUCCUCUCCCCUCUCUUGCGCCAACUUUCUCCAUGCCUACCUUCUCUUUAUGAUGCCUCUUUUGUGCAUGAUUUCCUCAUCUCCAUGCAAAAAAUAAGGGAAGGGUUGUCCAAGAGUUGGACGCCCCAUAGUUUCCUUGUUUGACUAGGUCUUUUGACCUAGUCUACCUUUUAUAUUGGUGCCUCCUAUUUGAUGAUUUGAAAGAGUCAAAAAUUUGUGGUU
rnacentral:lncRNA from 1 species